AUGGUCUCCAUAGCAAACAGUGAAGAGUUGACAGGUGGUGAAAGCGAGGACAAAUUUGGAAGCCCCAUACAAACUAAGGACAAUGUUCCCCCAGAAAUUAGAGUCCAGUGUGAGAUGCAGCUGGUGGAAUCUGGAAGAGGCUUGGUACAGCCUGAAAAGUCCAUGAAACUCUCCUGUGCAGCCUCUGGAUUCACAUUCAGUAGCUAUGUAAUGCACUGGGUCUGCCAGGCUCCAGGCAAGGGGCUGGAGUGGGUCACCUACAUAAGUUCUGAUAGUAGUAACAUCAGGUACACUGAUGCCGUGAAGGGCCGAUUCACCAUCUCUAGAGACAAUGCCAAGAACACCCUGUACCUGGACAUGAACAGUCUGAGGUCUGAAGACACAGCCACAUAUUACUGUGCCAGAGACACAGUGAGUGAAUGA